rnacentral:rRNA from 1 species
CCUACGGGAGGCAGCAGUGGGGAAUUUUGGACAAUGGGCGAAAGCCUGAUCCAGCAAUGCCGCGUGCAGGAAGAAGGCCUUCGGGUUGUAAACUGCUUUUGUACGGAACGAAACGGUCUGCUUUAAUACAGUGGGCUAAUGACGGUACCGUAAGAAUAAGCACCGGCUAACUACGUGCCAGCAGCCGCGGUAAUACGUAGGGUGCGAGCGUUAAUCGGAAUUACUGGGCGUAAAGCGUGCGCAGGCGGUUAUAUAAGACAGUUGUGAAAUCCCCGGGCUCAACCUGGGAAUUGCAUCUGUGACUGUAUAGCUAGAGUACGGUAGAGGGGGAUGGAAUUCCGCGUGUAGCAGUGAAAUGCGUAGAUAUGCGGAGGAACACCGAUGGCGAAGGCAAUCCCCUGGACCUGUACUGACGCUCAUGCACGAAAGCGUGGGGAGCAAACAGGAUUAGAUACCCUGGUAGUCCACGCCCUAAACGAUGUCACUGGUUGUUGGGUGNAUAGUACUACUAGUAACGAAGACUACGCGUGAGUAGACGCCGNGGAGGUACGGUCCGGCGAGUUAGUUAACGUACGAAGUUAGUAGUUGAGGCGNGAGAGNGCGACGGACGACGACGAGGGAGGAGG